rnacentral:rRNA from 1 species
GGCCGCAGUAUAUUAACUGUGCAAAGGUAGCAUAAUCAUUAGUCUUUUAAUUGAAGGCUGGUAUGAAUGGUUGGACAAAAUAUUAACUGUUUCAUAAGAAUUUUUAGUAGAAUUUUAUUUUUUAGUUAAAAAGCUAAAAUUUAUUUAAAAGACGAGAAGACCCUAUAAAUCUUUAUAUUAAUAUUAUUAAUUUUUUUUUGAAAUAUUUAAUUUUAAUGAUUUAUAAUAUUUUAUUGGGGUGAUAUUAAAAUUUAAUAAACUUUUAUUUUUUUUUUCAUUAAUUUAUGAUUAAUUGAUCCGUUAUUAACGAUUAAAAAAACAAGUUACUUUAGGGAUAACAGCGUAAUUUUUUUGGAGAGUUCAUAUUAAUAAAAAAGAUUGCGACCUCGAUGUUGGAUU